rnacentral:rRNA from 1 species
UACGGGGGGGGGCAAGCGUUGUUCGGAAUUACUGGGCGUAAAGGGCUCGUAGGCGGCCAACUAAGUCAUACGUGAAAUCCCUCGGCUUAACCGGGGAACUGCGUCUGAUACUGGAUGGCUUGAGAUUGGGAGAGGGAUGCGGAAUUCCAGGUGUAGCGGUGAAAUGCGUAGAUAUCUGGAGGAACACCGGUGGCGAAGGCGGCAUCCUGGACCAACACUGACGCUGAGGAGCGAAAGCCAGGGGGAGCAAACGGG